rnacentral:rRNA from 1 species
GUCUACAGCCAUACCACCCUGAUCACGCCAGAGCUUGUCUGAUUUUGGAAGCUAAGCAGGGUCAGGCCCGGUUAGUACUUGGAAGGGAGACUGCCAGGGAAUACCGAGUGCCAUAGCGU